rnacentral:tRNA from 5 species
GCGUCCGUAGUUCAAUGGAUAGAAUAUGGGCUUCCGGAGCCUAUGAUACGGGUUCAAUUCCUGUCGGACGCA